rnacentral:tRNA from 1 species
GGGAGUAUAGCUCAAGUGGUAGAGCGCAUGCUUAGCAUGCCUAAGGUCUUGGGUUCAAUCCCCGGUACCUCCA